CGGGGAGUGGUUUGCGGACAGCGAGGAUCAGUUGAUCCUGGGUAGCACCGCAGAGGUGGCUGAGUAGUUGUAGGUCUUGGAGUAGUGGGGCAUCGAGGAUCAUUGGAUCCAGGAUAGCAUCGAGGAGCUGCGGUAGUUGUUGGCACUGGACGAGGAGUAGUUUGUGGGCAACGAGGAUCGGUUGAUCCUGGAUAGCAACGGAGUGGUGGCUGUGUAGUUGGUGUUGUUUGAGGGCAGCGAGGAUCGGUUGAUCCUGGAUAGCA